rnacentral:miRNA from 1 species
ACUUGGAGGCCUGUGGCUAG